CACACGACUCUCGGCAACGGAUAUCUCGGCUCUCGCAUCGAUGAAGAACGUAGCGAAAUGCGAUACCUGGUGUGAAUUGCAGAAUCCCGCGAACCAUCGAGUCUUUGAAUGCAAGUUGCGCCCGAGGCCACUCGGCCGAGGGCACGCCUGCCUGGGCGUCACGC
rnacentral:rRNA from 1 species